ensembl:lincRNA Gm11412 predicted gene 11412
AGACACAAGAUGGGAAGAUGGGGGAAGCGAAGGAUGAAGAGCUAGGGCAGAGCCUGAGUUGUGAGGAGGGAGCAAAAAUCUGCCCCCAGGACUGUCUGAGUCCACACUGGCUGCUCGGCUCAUGGUGCAGGUGUGUGGGAGCCCUCCUCCACAUGGUCUCCACAGCAACCCGCCACUCUAAUCUGCUGAAUAUGAAAAGAAGAAACAGAAAGAGAAAAGCCAUCCACCCCCUUCUGCUCCAUCCAUGAGUCCAAAAGAAGGAUAUCGUCUCCAGGCAUUCCUGAUAAUACCCCAGCCAUUGCCCUGGCAACAGUCACAGGGAGCCGGCAUGGCCUGUGGAGAAAGCAGUCCCUGUCUCUAGCUCAGGCGGCUUCCUCCUCCUCCUCUUCUCCCACCACGGAUCUCCUAAUAGCCCCUAACAAUUGUGCACCCCACUUUUGGCCCACUGCCUCAUGCCCUCCAGCCUGCCAGCGGACCACUGACACAGAGAAUACAGAAAUCCACAUACUUUUCUCCUAAUGGUACUGAAAUGAUACUUGCAGGCAUGCAUACAGGCUUCUAAGUGUGUAUAGAUGAGAUUGUGUGUGUGUGUGUCUGUGUGUCUGUGCCUGUGUAUAGAUUUGAAAGACUCUUCACCUCUAGCUCCCCUGCAGAUGAACUGUGUUUACACGCUGAAUGAAGAAGUGGAGACUACUUCUUAUCAAAGCUAAGAGUUUGGAAAAGCCACCGCUUACAACUCCCAUUCUCUCAGCUGAGCUGGCUGAGGAGGUUUGCAGAGCCCUUUGCUCUGAGCCUCAUACCCAGCAGUGAAAGCUCUCAUUUGUCUUAAGGCCAUCAUGUUGAUGCAGCUGGCUUUGACACUGCUUACCUCAGCAUUUUUUUUUUUUUCGGUUGAAAGACAGAAGGCUUCCUUGUGAUCCCAGCCUUUUCCUAUCAAAUGACACUCAGCCUGGGUUUGGGUGACUUAUUUACUGGCACUAGACCAGUAAAAACAAAAAUGAACGUUCGCAACUAAUAAAUCCUCGUGCUUAGAUAGCUAGAGCCACAGCGGUGGGAUUACACCAGAAUGCUCGGCCGUUACUGGAGGGCUCCCAGGCUGUGCGGAGCCUAGUAAGUCAGAGGAGGAAAGGGGACCAAAUCAAGGAGCAGAGAAAUUACGUGCAGCAUGGGUUUUGGACAAUGAAAACCUUUUAUCUUCACUCUACGAUGUGCUUUCCGGGUGGGAGAUUCUACAGGCAGAAAUAGGGUGCACUGUGUUUGCAUCAUCGCGGUGAGCCUGCUAAGCUUGCCACCUUGACCUUCCUUUCUUGAAAAUCAAACCACACCCAUCUUCAGUAAGAUGAAAAAAGACAGCUAAGAUUCUGGACAGCGCAAUCACAGCUUUUCAGAGAACUGAAAGGAGCUAUUUUUAUAGAGGGCACGAGGUCAAGAAUGUUUAGCAAACAAAUUGAAUGUCAUCUACUCGCAGAGAAUUCUCCAAGGACCUUCCUUCUCCCAGGCCCUUGUGGAAAGUGAGGGCACCUCUGAGAGGCGGGGGCAAUGAUGUUUUUCCUUGUUUCAGAAUUGAUCUUUGGUAUAGAAGAACAUUUUUAUGUUAAUAUAAAUCCAAAAGAAUCCCACCAUAAAAUAUCGACACAGCCAAAGCUUUCCUUCUUCCACGACUACUUCUAAGACUCUGAGCAUCCACACUUCCUUUAAGGUUAGGUCUGCUGGGGCAGCUACCAUUGUGUCACAGUGGAAAACUUCCUCAUAGGAUUUAACCUGAUGGAACUAAAUAGAGAUUAAAAAGCAGAGGAUUUUUUUAAAGUAUAAGUCAAAUGGCCUUUGUACAAGCUAAUGGGCAUUUGACUAUUUGGAAAGAUGAUUGACAGCCAUUGAUUUCUCUCUUCCUUUUUAAUUUUGGCUUCAUGACUGAGAGACUACCACAAAGGAUAUUUACUGGUGACAUAUUAGAACACAGCCACCCAGCGGUUCGACUUGUUUGUAUAAUUCCUUUAAUCUAUGUUGUUGCCACUGUCAUCCUGUUUAGCUGUGAUGUCCCCUCAUUACAAAGAAGAUACCUACAAUGAGUGGAUAAUGGGAGCUAUGCUCUCUCAAAGCACCCAAUGAAAGAACAUAUUACAAGUCUUUCAGAGCUCUGCGAAAUUAUUGCAUCUGAUGGCUUUGACAGUGCCAUCCUUAAGGUAAAACCAGAUGAAUCAAAUGUGCAUAGACUAGUUCAGUCGUCUCAUUAGGAAGCUUUUAGAAUGCUUGCUGUCCACCAAUGACGCAGCCUCUUUAAAUGCUUUCAUAAGUCUUCAGGGUUGAAAUGUAAUGUCUCUGUGAUGGAACAUAGUUAGACACUCCUCCCUCUCCAUGGAGAGAGAGAGAGAGAGAGAGAGAGAGAGAGAGAGAGAGAGAGAGAGAGAGGAUGGGAAUGAAAUAUGUAUACUCUCUACUCAUUGUCUCUAAGGAUAAUCAAAUACUGUGUAUGUGUGCAGUGUGUGAAUGUAUGUACAUGUUUAUGUAUGGGUGGUACACGCAUAUGAAUAUUCACAUCCAUGUGUAUGCAUGCAGAGUCUGGAGAAGGGUGUAAUGUAUUUUCCUUGGCCUGAGACUGGGUCUCUCACUGGAUAGAAAGUGUGCCAUUUUUAGUAGGCUUUUACCCGGGACCUGGAUUUAUCUCGGAUCCUUGUGUUUAUAAAGCAUGUAUUCUUAACUACUGAGCUAUCUCCCCAGUCCCAAGGAUCAAUUAUCUUCUGAUUAUUUAAAUACUUAGAAAAUGAGCUAUCAUGAAUUCAAAUAAUCUUUAAAUGUUGUG